CAGCCCUUGAUGAACAGUGCAUGACAAAAGUAACAUCCCUAAGUGAGCUGUUCUUCUAAACCAAGGUCCACUUUAACACUCUUGUAUUCAGCUGUAAGGUUAGUCAGUGCAUUCACUGUUGUGCCUGCUGAGUGCACAGAGACUGGCACAGACCUCUUGACUGC